rnacentral:tRNA from 1 species
CGCGCGGUAGAGCAGCCAGGUAGCUCGUCGGGCUCAUAACCCGGAGGUCGCAGGUUCGAAUCCUGCCCGCGCUA